CAUGCAAGUCGAACGGUGAAGAGGAGCUUGCUCCUUGGAUCAGUGGCGAACGGGCGAGUAACACGUGAGCAAUCUGCCCUUGACUCUGGGAUAACUGCGGGAAACUGUAGCUAAUACCGGAUAUUACCUUGGAAGGCAUCUUCUGGGGUGGAAAGAAUUUUGGUCAAGGAUGAGCUCGCGGCCUAUCAGCUAGUUGGUGAGGUAAUGGCUCACCAAGGCGACGACGGGUAGCCGGCCUGAGAGGGUGACCGGCCACACUGGGACUGAGACACGGCCCAAACUCCUACGGGAGGCAGCAGUGGGGAAUAUUGCACAAUGGGCGCAAGCCUGAUGCAGCAACGCCGCGUGAGGGACGACGGCCUUCGGGUUGUAAACCUCUUUUAGUAGGGAAAAAGCGACUGGGUUUUCCUGGAAGUGACGGUACCUGCAAAAAAAGCACCGGCUAACUACGUGCCAGCAGCCGCGGUAAUACGUAGGGUGCAAGCGUUGUCCGGAAUUAUUGGGCGUAAAGAGCUCGUAGGCGGUUUGUCGCGUCUGCUGUGAAAACCCGAGGCUCAACCUCGGGCCUGCAGUGGGUACGGGCAGACUAGAGUGCGGUAGGGGAGAUUGGAAUUCCUGGUGUAGCGGUGGAAUGCGCAGAUAUCAGGAGGAACACCAAUG
rnacentral:rRNA from 1 species